AUUGAACGCUGGCGGCAGGCCUAACACAUGCAAGUCGAGCGAGCGGCGGACGGGUGAGUAAUGUAUGGGGACUGCCCGAUAGAGGGGGAUAACUACUGGAAACGGUGGCUAAUACCGCAUACUAUCGGAUAACCCAUAUGGGAUUAGCUAGUAGGUGGGGUAAGGGCUCACCUAGGCGACGAUCUCUAGCUGGUCAGAGAGGAUGAUCAGCCACACUGGGACUGGGACUCGGCACAGACUCCUAGGGAAGCAGCAGUGGAGAAUCUUGCACGGUGGGCGCAAGCCUGAUUCAGCCAUGCCGCGUGAAUGAAGGAGCCCUUCGGGUUGUAAAGUUCUUUCGGUAGCGAGGCGUUAACGACAAAAGAAGCACCGACUAACUCCGUGCCAGCAGCCGCGGUAAUU
rnacentral:rRNA from 1 species